CUAUAUACCACCCAAACUCUUUCUAUACCAUUAAAAUUAUAUCAAAAGAUUAGUCAUGCUUAUACUAUAAUUCUAUCUUGGUAGAAACUAAAGUUUCAUCCAAAACUAAAAUAAAGAUUCUUUUUCUAAGGAGUUCAUAGGAUUAAUAUAUACCUACUAUAUAUUCUCCACUAUUCCAAAGUAAACCACUCAACUUAAACCACAACACCAUUUCGAUAUUAAAACCUCCACUU
rnacentral:lncRNA from 1 species